rnacentral:tRNA from 2 species
AGGCUUUUGUUUACCGAGGGUUCGAAUCCCUCUCUUUCCG